AGUUUCGCUCUUAUUGCCCAGGCUGGAGUGCAAUGGCGCAAUCUCGGCUCACUGCAACCCCCGCCUCCCGGGUUCCAGUGAUUCUCCUGCCUCAGCCUCCUGAGUAGCUGGGAUUACAGAAUAUUAGGAAGCUCAAGCAUCUCAGGGACGGAGAAGGACUAAGGAAAGAGCCAAGAAUAACAUCCAGAUUAUACUACUGGUCCACUAUGGAGCCCACUACCCAGAUUUCUGGGCGAAAGAAGAUGGAUGUGCUGCUCAAGGGCUGACUGGUAGAACGCCCAGCAGUGGCACCUCUGAAAAUGCUGUAUUCACCACACUCAAGUUUUCAAAUCUGUAAAGCAGGAAAAUUGGACACAGAGGAGUUCACCGGGAAGACCACGUGCAGACAGAGUGAGAAGACAGCCACUUACAAGCCAAGGAGAGAGGCCUCAGAAGAAAUCAGCCUGGUGACGCCUUGAUCUUGGACUUCUAGCCUCCAGACCUGUCUACCAGCACCCCACCAACUCUCAGAAGAUGACCUUUUCUUCUCAUUUCACUGAAAAGCAGCAGAAAAGUACAUCCACAUCAUCAUCACCAAAUCCAUGAACCUCCCAACCCCCAAAGCUGUGUUUUCCAUCUUUCUUCUGUGAGGUGGUGGAGCUCCUACCCACACUCUCACCUGUGCUUCGGAUACCUCUCACCAAUAUAUGAGUCCAGGAGUUCAAGACCAGCUUGGGCAACAUGGUGAAACCCUGCCUCUACAAAAAUAAAUAAAUAAAUAACUGCAAAAAAUUAACCAGGCCCAUGGUGGUGCGUGCCUGUAGUCCCAGCUACUCGGGAGACUGAGGCAGGAUGAUCGCUUGAGCUCAGCAGGUCAAGGGAAAUUACUGGAGCAAUUGCCAAUUGUCGCCUGCCUACUGGGUCAUCCCAGCAUCCUACAAACAUACUGUGAUAAUCUCAACUUAGAACAAAAUAUUCUCUCCUGACUGCCCAGCAUCCUCUAGCUAUGGCUUUAUUUCUCGAUUUCAUUUUACAGAAAAGCUCUCCACACACACGCAAACCCCAGCUAACUUACUGAUAUCACUUAUCUUCUCACAUACUCUCCUAAACCUGCUGUGGGUGGGCUUUGUCCUCAUCUUUCCUCUAAAAUGAUUCCUCUUGUCACUAUCAUCAAUAACUUUCAGGGCACCCUUCCUCUUGUCUCAGGGAUCAUCCUUCCCAGUUCUCUUUGCUGAAGCUCUCUCAUCUUUCUGGCCUCUGUCACAGGAGUAGCCCAUGGCUGAGACUCUGAAACUCUUCUGUUUCUGCACACACUCUUCACAUGAUCUUAUAUAUACACUCUUGGCUUUAAGAACUGUCCAUAUCUAAGGUCUCCCUUAUUAGUGUCUCCAGCAUUAAUCCCUUGCCCAAACUCCAGAAGCUUAUACCCAAGUGGCUCCUUGAUGCCUCCUGUUGGGGGUCUAAUAGACAUCUCAAACUUAGCACAUCAAAAACCAAAUUCUUGAUUCAUGCCUCUUCCCAAG
rnacentral:lncRNA from 1 species